rnacentral:rRNA from 1 species
UACGGAGGGGGCGAGCGUUGUUCGGAAUUACUGGGCGUAAAGCGCACGUAGGCGGCGUGUCGAGUUAGGGGUGAAAGGCCUGGGCUUAACCUGGGAACUGCCUUUAAUACUGACAUGCUGGAGUCCGGGAGGGGGUGGCGGAAUUCCCAGUGUAGAGGUGAAAUUCGUAGAUAUUGGGAAGAACACCGGUGGCGAAGGCGGCCACCUGGCCCGGAACUGACGCUGAGGUGCGAAAGCGUGGGGAGCAAACAGG